rnacentral:tRNA from 1 species
GCCAAAGAAGCUUUUCAGUUGGUAGAGCAGAGGACUGAAAAUCCACGUGUCACCAGUUCAAAUCUGGUUCCUAGCA